GUGGGGAAUAUUGGACAAUGGGCGCAAGCCUGAUCCAGCCAUGCCGCGUGAGUGAUGAAGGCCCUAGGGUUGUAAAGCUCUUUCACCGGUGAAGAUAAUGACGGUAACCGGAGAAGAAGCCCCGGCUAACUUCGUGCCAGCAGCCGCGGUAAUACGAAGGGGGCUAGCGUUGUUCGGAAUUACUGGGCGUAAAGCGCACGUAGGCGGGUAUUUAAGUCAGGUGUGAAAUCCCGGAGCUCAACUCCGGAACUGCCUUUGAUACUGGGUACCUAGAGUAUGGAAGAGGUAAGUGGAAUUCCGAGUGUAGAGGUGAAAUUCGUAGAUAUUCGGAGGAACACCAGUGGCGAAGGCGGCUUACUGGUCCAUUACUGACGCUGAGGUGCGAAAGCGUGGGGAGCAAACAGGAUUAGAAACCCCAGUAGUCC
rnacentral:rRNA from 1 species